rnacentral:sRNA from 1 species
AGGAUAACGUUGCGUCAGCAACGGCCUGUAGGGCGAGGCGAAGCCGAGUCAUCCUGCACGACCCACCA